CAUGAUAAGAAUGGACCUUGGGCCUAAUUCAACCCCAAAAGCUAGCUUAUGAGGUGAGGAUUGUAAGUUGAAGCAAGAUCUUUUUUAGCACUUUCAGACUAAGGAUCUGGGAAAAUUAAAAUAUUUUCUGGGUAUUGAGGUGAGGAUUGCCCAAGCCAUAUAAGGAGAUCAAGGACCUCAAAUCCCUCCGAUGUGGGACAACUCAACAAGCUGAGUUUUGGUCUGGUGAUUGCUGCUCGCGUGGACUGCUGCUAACUGAUUUGCUUCUUCUUAAUUCCUUAAACCAGGUACACAAUUAAACGCCAAGUUGGUGUAAUUUUGAGGUGGAAGCAAUGAAUUGGAUUUGUGCUCCUGUUGUAACUUUACUGCCCUGUUGAUUCGUAUUAUAUUUGAGGUGGAUUUUGUUGUGAUAGGUUAUUUGUUUGUACUGAGUUGUGAUAGGACUGUGAAUCUGAAUAUUUCUCGUUAAGCUGAUAGUGCUAUUGUAAUAAAAUUGAAUCUCCAGUAAUUUAAAAUCAGGCGUGCAGUAAUUUUGUUGUAAUUAGAAUCAUUUGAAACAUUAGGGGAUAUCUUAAGCUUCUCGAGUUCACUGGACUGUUUGUGAAUUCAGUUUAGUUUUUGGAUCCAUAUUGUAGCUUAAUUUUUAAAAUAAAAUCAUAAAAGAGUCCCUGACAUGCAUGUUUAUCCCAGUAGGCUUUUAAUUAAAUAUUGUUGAAGUCUAUUCACGUUUGAUAUGCCUCUUUUUAUAAAUUGUUCGAGAUUAA
rnacentral:lncRNA from 1 species